CACACAUAUAAAAAUGUGGUAGGGUUUCGUAUUUGAGCUAAGAUCAGUUCACUCCUCUUCCACUCACCGCAUAUACUCCUAUGGCUUCUUUCUUCAAUCUUCAAAUCAUUCUUCUUCUUCUGUGGGCAAUCAACACCGUGCCAUGGUCUAGUUGAGGUGGAUCCGUCUCCAGCUACAAUACUGAGUUCUCCAGAGUAAGAGAUUGUGAAAUGCUUUUUGGUUCUAAAAAGUAUGGUCUAGUCCACUGAGGUUUGACAUGCAAUCUUGUUAUGGAAGGGAGGAAGAUUAACAUGAGAAACCGUACCCGCGUGUAACUGGAUGGUGUCAAAAUCCCAUGUUGCUUGCAAUGAAGAUCUAACCAAUGCCCCCCUGAUCUACUGAGAGUCCUUUUUAUUGGCUGGUUAAUUAGGCUAAGUAGAAAAUCCCCUUUUUUGUUUCCCUGAAUUGUUGAUGUACAGUUGAUGUAUGUGGUAAACUUAGCAUAGCCUGUCCAGUCUGUUUACUUGUUUGAUAUUGAUAACCUUCGGAGGAAGAUUGGUACUUAUUACUGUUAAUAAUCCUUCUGCCUAGACUUAGAAGUUGAUAGAAUGUUGUAUAUGUGAAUGUGUUUAGUUCCAAUGCCAUGUUAGCUAAAAAAUCUGCUAAUUGAUUGCCUUCUC